rnacentral:rRNA from 1 species
AUUGAACGCUGGCGGCAUGCUUUACACAUGCAAGUCGAACGAAUGGCGCACGGGUGGGUAAUAUAUUGGAACGUACCAAAUAAUGGGGGAUAACCAAUCGAAAGGUUGGCUAAUACCGCAUAGUCGUCGAGCGGCCAAUAUCUGAUUAGCUGGUUGGUGGGGUAAAGGCGUAACAAGGCGACGAUCAGUAGCGGGUCUGAGAGGAUGCCCAGCAACACUGGGACUGCGACACGGCCCAGACUCCUCAGGGAGGCAGCAGUGGGCAAUGUUGGACAAUGGGAGCAAGCCUGAGCGGGCCAUGCCGCGGGCAGGAAGACGGUCUUCGGGUCGUAAAGCACUUUGGUUAGGGAAGCCGUUGUCAGAGAAGAAGCACCGGCUAACUACGUGCCAGCCGCCGCGGUAAUAC